rnacentral:lncRNA from 1 species
AAUUCCAUCUCAAGACCUGAUGAGGGAACGAUCGCAUUGCGAGUUCAUGUGAUGGUUGGUGGCAUUAAGUUCCUUGAGAGUUGCAUAAAUAAGAACCACAGUCACUGGAUGAAUUUCAGCCUUGUGCCUCUUUCAGUUGCUGGAUGUCUGCUGGCUGGAGAUCACCCGUUUCCCUGUCAAGGGGGCCUCUCUGCCACAAUAAGUUGCUUCAUCACCCUUCGACAAGAGAGAAAGGCUACUAGCAAGACAGAUGUUACAAUUACAGGAUUCAUGUGCCUCAGUCUUGGAUUCACCUAUUCCUUCAAGAAGCCUUGGGUCCCUUGACCCAAAUAAUUUGGACCCAAGGAAUUUGGAAUUUGGAGAGCAAGCUAUGGACCCUCUGUUGCACCUAUUGCUUAAAGGCGUCAAUCUGCCUGGCUUUCCCUGUGGACAGACCUAGGGGUAUGGAGGCAAACCUCGGAGAUAUUGCAGGUUUAGUCCAGACUACCACAACAAAGCAAAUACUGAAAUAAAGCCAGUCACACAACUUUUAUUUCUCCAUUCAUAUGAAAGAUCCAUCAGAAGAAUCACUAUAUAUGGCACCUAUAGCCUUACAAAAUGUGUAUCUUAAAUAAUGAGACUUGAAAGUUGAAAUGACACCUUGACCCAUGGGCUGCGGAAUGGAUGUUGUGUUAACAGACAUGAAAACACAUUAUUCUCUUCGUAAAUCUCCAUCAGAGCUCUUGGAUGACCAGUUGCAUUUUCAAUGAGAAGUAAUAUAGUGAAGAAAUCUUUUUUUCUCUGAACAGUAGGUCUCAACACGGUUUAAAAUAUUCAGUAAGCAUUGCUGUACAGAUGUCCUCUCAUUCAGACUUUGUUGUUCCAUUUAUAAAUCACAGGCAGAUAACUAGCAUACUUGUUAAGGGUCCUAGAAUUUUCAGAACGAUAAAUGAGAUUUGACUUCAACUUAAAGUCACCAGCUGCAUUAGCCCCUAACAAGAGAAUUAGCCUGUCCUUUGAAGCCAGGCAUUCAUUUCUUCUCUCAAGCUAUGAAAUUUCUAGAUGGUAUCUUCUCCCAAUAGAAGGCUGUUGUGUCUACAUUGAAAAUCUGCUUUUUAGUGUAGCUACCUUCACAGGCUGUUGAAAAAAAAAUGGCACUGAUAGACUUGCUUGAUGCAGGAUUGCCACAAACUUUGAAUUUGUAAAAAAUGUAAUAUCUGUGAAGCAUAGUAAAGUGAAACACAAUAAAAUGUGGUAUGUUUUUAUUCAUUUUGAAAUAUUUUCUUUCUCUUUUGCAUUCUUUUAAGACAUAUAGAUUAUUUAUAAAUAUAUUAUAAUGUCUAUGUAAUGAUGCUUUUAGUUAAACCUGUGUUAUUAAUGUACAGCUUAAUUCAAUGUGGCUGGGGAACAUUGAAUUAUGAUCAUCCUUUGCAAUUUGUAUUCAACAUGGUUCUCAAUCUCAAUUUUUAUAAGUGUUUAAUGUGCAAUUGUAAAGAACAGUUUGUUAAUUAUUUUAUUUGGAUCUUUAGUGUUCAUAGUAAUGUAAUUCCUGCUACCUAUAUGAAAUAUGACAAUAUUAUAGCACAUUCUGGAAGUAUAUUAGAAUUUUCUUAUGUUUUAUAAUAUGAUUACAUAUGAGGAUAUAUAUUUUCAUUCCACUUUUAUUAUUGAAAGGUGUUUUUAUUGGAUAUAGAAUUCUCUAUUGGUAAUUUUUUUCUUUUCACAUGUUAAAAAUAUUGGUCAAUGGCAUUACUGUUUAUGAUUAGAAGUCAUCAGUUAUUCAAUUUCUUGUUCUUCAGUAAUGUGCUCUUUUAAUCUGGCUACUUUCAAAAUUUUACAUCUUUGUUUUUUAUCAUCUUGCCUACCUUAAUUUGACUUUAUUUUUCUUGUGGUGCACUCUUAUUCAUAAAACCGUAAAUUCUUGCCCCACACCAUUUUUGUGAAAUUAUCAGUCACGAUUUCUUCAAAUCCUUUGUUUAAAGCCACAUUUGCUUUUUCUCUUCUCUCCUGUGGAUUCUUGUUACAUUCUUGUUAGAUCUUUGAAUACUCCCCAAAGAUUUCAUGAGGGGAUGUUCUUUUGUGUAUUCUUUUUUU